GAGUUUGAUCCUGGCUCAGAUUGAACGCUGGCGGCAGGCUUAACACAUGCAAGUCGAACGGUAACAUGAGUGCUUGCACUUGAUGACGAGUGGCGGACGGGUGAGUAAUGUAUGGGGAUCUGCCGAAUGGAUUGGGACAACAGUUGGAAACGACUGCUAAUACCGAAUAAUGUUGCGAGACCAAAGGGUGCUUACGGGCACUUGCCAUUUGAUGAACCCAUAUGAGAUUAGCUAGUUGGUGGGGUAAAGGCUCACCAAGGCGACGAUCUCUAGCUGGUCUGAGAGGAUGACCAGCCACACUGGAACUGAGACACGGUCCAGACUCCUACGGGAGGCAGCAGUGGGGAAUAUUGCACAAUGGGGGAAACCCUGAUGCAGCCAUGCCGCGUGUAUGAAGAAGGCCUUAGGGUUGUAAAGUACUUUCGGUGAUGAGGAAGUUACGUGUGGGAUAAGCACAUAUAAUUGACGUUAGUUACAGAAGAAGCACCGGCUAACUCCGUGCCAGCAGCCGCGGUAAUACGGAGGGUGCGAGCGUUAAUCGGAAUGACUGGGCGUAAAGGGCAUGUAGGCGGAUGAUUAAGUUAGGUGUGAAAGCCUCGGGUUCAACCUGAGAAUAGCAUUUAAAACUGGUGAUCUGGAGUACUGUAGAGGGAGGUAGAAUUCCACGUGUAGCGGUGAAAUGCGUAGAGAUGUGGAGGAAUACCGGUGGCGAAGGCGGCCUUCUGGACAGAUACUGACGCUGAGAUGCGAAAGCGUGGGGAGCAAACAGGAUUAGAUACCCUGGUAGUCCACGCUGUAAACGAUGUCGAUUUGGAGUUUGUUGCCUAGAGUGAUGGGCUCCGAAGCUAACGCGAUAAAUCGACCGCCUGGGGAGUACGGCCGCAAGGUUAAAACUCAAAUGAAUUGACGGGGGCCCGCACAAGCGGUGGAGCAUGUGGUUUAAUUCGAUGCAACGCGAAGAACCUUACCUGGUCUUGACAUCCACAGAAUCUUGCAGAGAUGUGAGAGUGCCUUCGGGAACUGUGAGACAGGUGCUGCAUGGCUGUCGUCAGCUCGUGUUGUGAAAUGUUGGGUUAAGUCCCGCAACGAGCGCAACCCUUAUCCUUUGUUGCCAUCGGUUAGGCCGGGAACUCAAAGGAGACUGCCGUUGAUAAAGCGGAGGAAGGUGGGGACGACGUCAAGUCAUCAUGGCCCUUACGACCAGGGCUACACACGUGCUACAAUGGCGUAUACAAAGGGAGGCGA
rnacentral:rRNA from 1 species